rnacentral:lncRNA from 1 species
AGAUAGAAAAUAGGUUUUUGAUUUAUGAGGAGAGAAGUGAGGGAAAAAAUUCACAGUGAAACUUUUGGAAUUGGAGAAAAAGAGGCAAGAGAAGAGAAAAACAAGAAAAAUCUAAGGAGAGCUCUAGGGAAGAAGUCAUAGCCAAAAGCUUGGAUUUUUCUGGAAUUAUAAGGUAAUGGUGGAAAUUUGGUUCAAUAAUAG